rnacentral:rRNA from 1 species
GACUAAGCGUACACGGUGGAUGCCCUGGCAGUCAGAGGCGAUGAAGGACGUGCUAAUCUGCGAUAAGCGUCGGUAAGGUGAUAUGAACCGUUAUAACCGGCGAUUUCCGAAUGGGGAAACCCAGUGUGUUUCGACACACUAUCAUUAACUGAAUCCAUAGGUUAAUGAGGCGAACCGGGGGAACUGAAACAUCUAAGUACCCCGAGGAAAAGAAAUCAACCGAGAUUCCCCCAGUAGCGGCGAGCGAACGGGGAGCAGCCCAGAGCCUGAAUCAGUAUGUGUGUUAGUGGAAGCGUCUGGAAAGGCGCGCGAUACAGGGUGACAGCCCCGUACACAAAAAUGCACAUGCUGUGAGCUCGAUGAGUAGGGCGGGACACGUGGUAUCCUGUCUGAAUAUGGGGGGACCAUCCUCCAAGGCUAAAUACUCCUGACUGACCGAUAGUGAACCAGUACCGUGAGGGAAAGGCGAAAAGAACCCCGGCGAGGGGAGUGAAAAAGAACCUGAAACCGUGU